ACACAGCGCUCUGGAGAGAUCCGGCCGUCGGCGCAGCGCGCGAUGCGCCCGGACGCCGAAGGUGCAAACCCGCCACGCGGGGCAACUCUCAGGCAAAAGGACAGAGGGGCGGAA
rnacentral:ncRNA from 2 species